rnacentral:rRNA from 1 species
GAUGAACGCUGACAGAAUGCUUAACACAUGCAAGUCGAUGGGGAAGUGGUGCUUGCACCAUGGCAACCAUUGCGGACGGGUGAGUAACGCGUAAGUGACUUACCUGCAUGACUGGGAUAACAGGGGUCAACUCCUCACAAGACCUGAUAAUGUCAUGUAGCUGCAUGGCUUUAUGAUGAAAGGAGACGCCCGCGGAGAGACUUGCGUCCUAUUAGCUAGUUGGUGAGGUAAUGGCUCACCAAGGCGAGUAUGGAUAGCCGACCGGAGAGGCGGAGUGGCCACACUGGAACUGAGAGACGGUACGGACGCCGAAGGGAGGGAGCAGUAGGGAAGAUUCCGCAAAGGGCGAAAGCCUGACGGAGCAACGCCGCGUGAGUGAGGAAGGUCGUCGGAUCGUAAAACACUGUUAUUAGGGAAGAACAUAUGUGUAAGGAACUGUGCACAUCUUGACGGUACCUAAUCAGAAAGCCACGGCUAACUACGUG